rnacentral:rRNA from 1 species
UACAGAGGGUGCGAGCGUUAAUCGGAAUUACUGGGCGUAAAGCGUGCGUAGACGGUUAUUUAAGUCGGGUGUGAAAGCCCCGGGCUCAACCUGGGAAUUGCAUUCGAGACUGAAUAGCUAGGGUACGGUAGAGGGAAGCGGAAUUUCCGGUGUAGCGGUGAAAUGCGUAGAUAUCGGAAGGUACAUCAGUGGCGAAAGCGGCUUCCUGGACCAGUACCGACGUUCAGGCACGAAAGCGUGGGGAGCAAACAGG